CCUGAGGACAGCACAGAGAAAGACUGGAACAGAAAACACACGGAGGAAAGCAGGUUGAACAUGGAAGCAGUGUUCUAGCAGUCGGAUCACAUUGGAAAAGAAUCCAUCCACAUGUGUUUGGAGGAGCUGAAGAAGAGGAUGGAGCACACAGACCGCUAAGGAGAAGAAACAUGGCUCCUCUAUUUGUCUCUCCAACGUUCUGGAGUCUGAAAAACGUUGACGACCCCGCAGCUAAACCAUCAGUCUGCUCCACCCAGUAGAAGAAGAUGAGGUCAUCUGCUCCUUGGACCGGCACCUCUGUGUCUGUCGGACGUCUGCUGUCCUGUUAAAGACCCGCUCAGCUGCAGUAGAUGGGCGCCGACAUGGAACCGGGGUCUGCUGGAGGUUCCUUCCUGCUUAAAGCUGGUUUUCCUCUCCACUGUCUCCUCAUUGCUCAGGAGUAGGCACUGCAGCAAAAUUAACGACUGUCUGUGAUUGGCUGAGCUUCCUUGGGUUGAAGACAUUUCUCUGAAUGCCACGAUAAACUGACUUUAUCUUCACCAUGUUGUAAAUAGGAUCUAAUUGGAUAUUUGUGUUUAGAUUUGGUUCUGUGUUUGUGUUGACUUCUGUUACAGUACAUGUUUCUGUAUUAAAAUUGUCAUGUUAAUUGCCUUUAGAUGACAUUUUCUGUGACUUAAUUCUAUUUUAAGACUGAUUUAUAUUAAAUCCCCUUACUGCACAGGUGUCAAAGUCGUUCCAGAAAUGGCCGUGUGGCUGCUGGUUUUCUUUCCACCCAAGCAGUAGCACACCAGACUCCAUUCAUCUCAUCAAGGUGAGUCUAGUCUUAACCUGAUGACUUGAUGGGAUGAAUGGAGUCUGGUGUGCUACUGCUUGGGUGGAAAGAAAACCAGCAGCCACACGGCCCUUUCUGGAAUGACUUUGACACCCCUGCCUUACUGGGUCUGGUUCUGUUGAAGUAUGCUUCCUGUCGUUCUAUCUUUACCUGUUAUUUCUCACUAUAAUAAAUGUUUGAUUGCAGUAAUGUGAACAGGAUCUGUUUGUAUUUUCUGGUAAAGUGUCUUGAAAUAAGUGGUUGUAAAUUGAUUCUUUAUAAAUAAACCAAACUGAAGUCAAA